GUUGCAAAGCUAUUUGUGCAGGCUAUCAUCUAGUCAAAUAUUAAUAUAAAUAAAGAUAGCAUUUUACAUAUCAUUUUGUUUUGCUUUUAAAGUUUUAAUAGAUACAAUUGUGUCCACCAAAAAAUACGAAGUGCUUGUGUUAUUGUAGCCUAGUCCGCACGACUAUGAACAGUGCAGCAUUUGGCCACAAGAGCGCGAGCCUGAGCCACACCAGAGGCGGGGAAGAUGACAACAAUCGCGUCCCCUUUAGUCCGAAAGAUUGUGGGUAAAGUAAAGCAUUCCAUUACAAACACUGUCAAAGCCACACCGGAGGCUGUCAACAGCUUACUUCCACACACUUCAGCGUCUCUCCGUCUUACACGAUGAACCCUGACAACCCAGAUAUCGGACACACAGUUGGUUUUUAUUUCAUUUUUCUGUCGUUCGUUCCUGUCAACAUUGUCACCGGCAGCACAAGACCAGGCUCCCAGAACCAGGAUUCAGAGGAAGUCCUCUAUGACAGCCAGCUAGGUGAGUUUCAUUGAUUAUUCUCAAUGCAUCCAGAAAUGGUUCAAUAGAAACGACCACUUUCAAAGGUCCAGAAAGUAGGAAUUUUAUUCAGCUGUUUGCUAAUCUAAUCUUCUGAAAUGUCUCACUUGAUUCAACCAAUAUUGCAGACCGUUUGAUUGCACUGUACAAUACCCUCUUACUUGUUGUUAUACGACAAUGUACAAAACAAAAUUGAAACAACGGAACUGCCCACUUCCUGAAUCAGGACCGCAUAAAUAUGUCACAGAACAGACAUUGCUUUCUGUGACCAUGACGAUUCAAUAAAACAAACGUAUUUGCAGAAAUGCUCGGCCUGAACUCUUUCUUUGCAAAAUGUACAUACUGCACGUUUAACGAGUACUUUUGCAUGCGCACAAAUAAUUUGAUAUUAAACUGAUUAUGGCAGUAGGCCGAGUAUGAAAAUAUUAAUGUAAACACCUUACCCUGCUUAUCAUAAUUGGCGUAAGGCCAAAAUCGAAGGUUCUGAGCAGUCUUUCGAAUGAUUAGGACAUGUAAACAGCUUAAUCGGCAUUCCAGCUGUGUAUUUGACCUGCGCAUGUGCCAGCACCGGUAGCGCUAGCCUCCCUCUUACAGUGCAUUCGGAAAGUAUUCAGACCCAUUCACUUUUUCCACAUUUUGUUACGUUACAGCCUUAUUCUAAAAUGGGUUAUAUUUAAAACAAUUCUCAUAAAUCUACACAUAGUACCCCAUAAUGACAAAGGAAAACAGGUUUGUAUAAUUUGGUAAAUUAUAUUAGAAAUAAAUAAAUACAUUAUUUACAUAAGUAUUCAGACCCUUUGCUAUGAGACUCGAAAUCGAGCUCAGGUGCCUCCUGUUUCCAUUGAUCAUCCUUGAGAUGUUUCUACAACUUGAUUGGACAUGAUUUGGAAAGGCACACACCUGUCUAUAUAAGGUCCCACAGUUGACAGUGCAUGUCAGAGCAAAAAACAAGCCAUGAGGUUGAAGGAAUUUUCCGUAGAGCUCAGAGACAGGAUUGUGUCGAUGGUACAGAU
rnacentral:lncRNA from 8 species